rnacentral:snRNA from 1 species
AAUCUGUUUGAACAUUGAUUCAA